AAAGAGCUAAAUAAUUAAAAAAGUUAUUGUAGUAAAAAUAUUUUAAAUAAUUAUUUAGAAAUGAAACGUUAUUCGUUUUUAAAGAUAUCUAGUUUUUUUGGAAAAAAAUUUAAUUUUAAAUUUAUUAAUUUAAUAAUUUUAAUUAUUUAAUUUUAUUAAUUUUAAAUUUUAUAUUUUAAGGGAUAAGCUUUAAAUUAAAUUUUUAUAAUUAUAUAAUUUUAAUUUUGAAAAUUUUAUAAUUUAUAUUGUUAAUAAAUUUUAUUUUAUUAUAAAUAAUUUCAAUAAAUAUAAAAUUUAAAAUUUAUUUAAUUUUUUAUAAAAAUAUUAUUUUUAAUUUAUAAAAAUAAGUAAUAAUGAUAAAAUUAGUAUAUUUUAUUAAUUAAUAAUUUAAAAUUUAAUUAAAUAAAAAAUUAAUUAAAAGGAAUUCGGCAAAUAUUUAUAUUCACUUGUUUAACAAAAACAUGUCUUUUUGUAAUUAAUUUAAAGUCUAAUCUGCCCACUGAUUUAAUUAUUAAAGGGCUGCAGUAUUUUGACUGUACAAAGGUAGCAUAAUCAUUAGUCUCUUAAUUGGUGACUUGUAUGAAAGAUUGGAUGAAAUAUAAUCUGUCUCUUAAUUAAUUUAUAGAAUUUAAUUUUUUAUUUAAAAAGUUAAAAUAACUUAAAAAGACGAGAAGACCCUAUAAAGUUUUAUAAAUAAUUUUAUAUAAAAUAAUUUAUAUUUAUAAUAUUUUUAUAAGAUUUAUUUAUUUUGUUGGGGUGAUAGAAAAAUUAAUUAAACUUUUUAUUUUACUUUACAUAAAUAAGUGAAUAAAUUGAUCCAAUUUUAUUGAUUAUAAGAUUAAAUUACUUUAGGGAUAACAGCGUAAUUUUUUUUUUUAGUUCAAAUAAGAAGAAAAGUUUGCGACCUCGAUGUUGGAUUAAGAUAAAAUUUAAACGCAAAAGUUUAAAAU
rnacentral:rRNA from 1 species